CACCGCAAACAUGUGACCGUGCUACACAGUAUGAGGCACCAAGUGAGGCUGGCAGCAAGCAUGAUACACCUUACACAAGUGAUGAUGACAGUGACAGUGAUGAAGACUACCACCCUCUUUCAAGCAAAGUCAAGUUCGAAGAAUUUCAGUCCCAGCAAAAGUCCCUCAAUGAUCAUCUUGAAGAAACAAAGUUCCUGGUGUUCAAAUCCAAUUUGUUGUCAUUGUUCUUGUUUUGCAAGUUAUGCUUUUGUUCAUGCAGAGCCACUAUUUAUAAAGUCUGUGGUAGUCUUGUGACUGUUCAGAUACAGUGCCUUAGACACAAAGAGCAUCUGUAUUUCUGGAGUAGUCAGCCAGUCCACAAACAACUGCCACUUGGCAAUUUGGCCAUAGCUUGUGCUAUUUUCUUUAGUAGCCUUUCCCCAGUAAAGGCUCUGAGGAGCUAUUCAAUACUGAACAUGUACAGCAUAAGCAGAUCAACGUUUCAUAAGAUCCAGAGAAGCUAUAUUGUUCCAGCCA